rnacentral:rRNA from 1 species
GAUAGACGGGAGGCGGAUGCCGUGGUAAGACGGAGGUGCGAGGGGUUAUCCGGAAUGACUGGUCGUAAGGCGCACGGAGGCGGCGAGUUAAGUCGGACGUGAAGUCGCCUGGCUUAACUGGGAGGGGUCGUGGGAAACUGAUGUGCUUGAGGCGGUGAGAGGGGUGUAGAAUUCCCGGUGUAGUGGUGGAAUGCGUAGAUAUCGGGAGGAAUACCAGUGGCGAAAGCGGCACCCUGGCACUAGCCUGACGCUCAUGUGCGAAGGCGUGGGGAGCGAACGGGAUUAGAUACCCUAGUAGUC